AGUAACACGUGGGCAACCAACCCCUCACAUCGGGAUACCCCGGGGAAACUCGGAUCAAUACCGGAUAAUGCGCGACGCUGUUGGGCGUCGCACCAAAGGUAGCUUCGGCCUCUGGUGAGGGACGGGCCCGCGGCCCAUUAGCUUGUUGGUGGGGUAAUGGCCUACCAAGGCAACGAUGGGUAGCUGGUCUGAGAGGAUGAUCAGCCACAUUGGGACUGAGACACGGCCCAA
rnacentral:rRNA from 1 species